CUUCUUGUGGUAGCAAUAAAAUACUCCUUAAAAUGCGCAAUCCCAGAAUAUAUAUAAAAACCGUAAAGGCUUGCAUGUAAACGUCCUUUUGAAGCAAGUUUAAGAGCAGAUUUGUUAAUGUUUAACAUCUUCAUCAGUGUCAUUCUUUGUAAAUUUGCACUAAUUAAGUCCAAAGGGACAAAAUGAUAGAUUAUGCAUGUGUCGUGGUGCCAGAACGAAUAAGCCGAUGAUCAGUUUGCUUUUGGCAUUUUUUUCUGUGGUGUAAGAUUUUCUGAUUUUAAUCAAUUUCUGAAAUACAGGGGCCUUGCAGAUGCUGUGGAAUUAAAAAUGGAGACUCUCUUCAAACGUGAAGCCGGACCUAAUCCUUCGGAGACCAGAGGCUGACUUGCAAGCAUUCGCUUAGCUCGCAGGCUGGAAGAUAUUGGGUCUCGGUGGGUUCAUGCAUCACACAAGCACUAAGGCCAGAUAUGGACAUUACAUUUUUUCCUGCAGAAAACUGCAGGAACUGGUCUAUGCCCCUAACAAAACAGAAGUUUGGCGCACAUAGACUGGUUUAAAAAUGUCAGCCCCCGAUCUAAGAUUUGCUCCCCCCACCAAAGGGAGAAUGUGUGUUCAGUUCGCUACUGAUCCCAACCACACCACUUACAGAAAACUAUAUAACUUGGAUUGAUCUCCGCCUUGGGCUUUUUGAAUAUCUGCAUGUCAACUGAGAAACUGUCUGCAGCAGAAAGUGGUGCCGUGUUACAGUUUAAUACAAUUUGAGUGAGAAUAUCUUUACUAUACCGCAGGCAGUAACACAGCCGUGUCGAAUCUCUAACAGUAAACACAAGGCCAAACUCUGAGUGGAUUUUUAAUGGCUUUUUAUUGAUUGGGGGGGGGGGGAGUUCAUCGAAACUGUAGCUAAUUUUCGUCAUUUUGUUAGAAAUUUGACUGCAGGAUAGAAAUAAUCACUGCUUCAAGCUUAGACAUGGCUUAUAAGUGUUGAUGCUAAUAAACCGAUUAGCAUAUGUUUUUCCUUG